UGGAUCCAGAACAAGACAGCAUCUGGGCAGUAAUGGUUUAAAUUUCCUUUAGUAGUCCUAAAUAAUUAAAGCUCCUACUAAUUUUCUCCCAGAAACUUGGACUCUGAGGACUCAGACUGAAUGAUUUUCUAAUGAAGAAACUAAUUCACUGCAGGAAUCUUUGAGAAUGAAGUCCAGGACUUGCUCACUAUGUUUUUCUGG
rnacentral:lncRNA from 1 species